rnacentral:rRNA from 1 species
UACAGAGGUCCCAAGCGUUGUUCGGAUUCACUGGGCGUAAAGGGUGCGUAGGCGGUCGGGUAAGUCUGAUGUGAAAUCUCACAGCUUAACUGUGAAACUGCAUUGGAUACUAUCCGGCUCGAGGAAUGGAGGGGAGACUGGAAUACUUGGUGUAGCAGUGAAAUGCGUAGAUAUCGAGAGGAACACCGGUGGCGAAGGCGAGUCCCUGGAAAACACCUGACACUGAGGCACGAAAGCUAGGGGAGCAAACAGG